CUACGGGGGGCAGCAGUGGGGGAUAUUGCACAAUGGGCGAAAGCCUGAUGCAGCAACGCCGCGUGAAGGAUGACGGAUUUCGGUCUGUAAACUUCUAUCAGCAGGGAAGAAAAUGACGGUACCUGACUAAGAAGCCCCGGCUAACUACGUGCCAGCAGCCGCGGUAAUACGUAGGGGGCAAGCGUUAUCCGGAAUUACUGGGUGUAAAGGGUACGUAGGCGGCUGAUCAAGUCAGAUGUGAAAGCCCGGAGCUCAACUCCGGGAUUGCAUUUGAAACUGGUCGGCUAGAGUGCAGGAGAGGAAAGUGGAAUUCCUAGUGUAGCGGUGAAAUGCGUAGAUAUUAGGAAGAACACCAGUGGCGAAGGCGGCUUUCUGGACUGUAACUGACGCUGAGGUACGAAAGCGUGGGGAGCGAACAGGAUUAGAUACCCGAGUAGUC
rnacentral:rRNA from 1 species